UACUAGCUCUCCGAGUGGUAGGGAUGAUUAUUGGGCUUAAAGCGUCCGUAGCCGGCUUAGCAAGUCUCCUGUUAAAUUCAGCGACCUAAUCGUUGAGCCGCGGGAGAUACUACUAGGCUAGGAGGCGGGAGAGGUCAACGGUACUUCCGGGGUAGGGGUGAAAUCCUAUAAUCCCGGGAGGACCACCAGUGGCGAAGGCUGUUGACUAGAACGCGCUCGACGGUGAGGGACGAAAGCUGGGGGAGCGAACCGGAUUAGAUACCCGGGUAGUCCCAGCUGUAAACGAUGCGAGCUAGGUGUUGGGGUGGCUACGUGCCACUUCAGUGCCGCAGGGAAGCCAUUAAGCUCGCCGCCUGGGGAGUACGGCCGCAAGGCUGAAACUUAAAGGAAUUGGCGGGGAGCACCACAAGGCGUGAAGCUUGCGGUUC
rnacentral:rRNA from 1 species